UGGAGAGUUUGAUCCUGGCUCAGGACGUGGCGGCAGGCCUAACACAUGCAAGUCGAGCGGCAGCACAAGGGAGUUUACUCCUGAGGUGGCGAGCGGCGGACGGGUGAGUAAUGCCUAGGGAUCUGCCCAGUCGAGGGGGAUAACAGUUGGAAACGACUGCUAAUACCGCAUACGCCCUACGGGGGAAAGAGGGGGACCUUCGGGCCUCUCGCGAUUGGAUGAACCUAGGUGGGAUUAGCUAGUUGGUGAGGUAAUGGCUCACCAAGGCGACGAUCCCUAGCUGUUCUGAGAGGAUGAUCAGCCACACUGGGACUGAGACACGGCCCAGACUCCUACGGGAGGCAGCAGUGGGGAAUAUUGCACAAUGGGGGAAACCCUGAUGCAGCCAUGCCGCGUGUGUGAAGAAGGCCUUCGGGUUGUAAAGCACUUUCAGUAGGGAGGAAAGGGUGAGUCUUAAUACGGCUCAUCUGUGACGUUACCUACAGAAG
rnacentral:rRNA from 1 species